rnacentral:lncRNA from 1 species
ACCCGAUGUGAAGCCUGACUGAGCAGAGUGGAGACUAGCAGCUGCACGUCAAGUGGCCUUCCAGGACUUGAUUCCAUAUGCAUGUUCUCAUCCAUGGGCUCAUACCCAGUCCAAAGGACUUCACCCCAGCUCCAUCUUUGCCCAGACACACCUGGGGCUGUAGGGUGUGACUGUAAAUUGGUCUUGACCCUCUGAGGAAAUGGGGAUGCUGCAGAAGACACUGGCUAAAUUGAUAAAAUGAGAUUUGUAACCUCCCUGGGACAGAGCUCCCAGAGGGAGGGACAGGCCACUAUCUUUGCCAUUUAGAUGACUUAGCUGUUCCAGCCUUCAGGCCUCAGAGUAUCUGAGGAACUAGGGGCUGACAUGGACCCCCAGCACAGCACAGCUGCUCUACCAAAACAUGGCCAGACUGUUUCUUUAAGCAGGUCCCUGAUCCCAUUCCUCCUCACUGGGCAGGACCUCCCAAAUGGGGUCUCCAGCCACCUCCUACAGGUGCCUUUGCAUUGGCAACAGGCCUAUACCAUCCUGGGAUGAAGCUUCAGGGAGGGACUGCUGCUAUUUUUG